rnacentral:rRNA from 1 species
GACAGAGGAGGCAAGCGUUGUUCGGAAUCAUUGGGCUUAAAGGGCGUGCAGGCGGCGGCGCAAGUGUCGAGUGAAAUCCCAUCGCUCAACGAUGGAACGGCUCGGCAAACUGCGUCGCUUGAGGUCGGUAGAGGUGCUCGGAACUCUAGGUGGAGCGGUGAAAUGCGUAGAUAUCUAGAGGAACGCCUGAGGCGAAAGCGGGGCACUGGGCCGAUUCUGACGCUGGAGAACGCGAAAGCGUGGGGAGCAAACAGG